UUAUUAAUUUAAAAGACGGGCAAAAUAAGAAAUUUACAUUAUUUUUGUACUUGAUUUUUGAAGAGGGACUAAUAUUUUGGGACAAUGAAAAAUGGAAUAUGGGACUAAUAUUUUGGAACGGAAGGAGUACAGAAAGAAUUUUUGCAGAAAUUGAAAUGAUUUGAAUUAUGGGACUUGCACAGUUAAUCCCCAGAUCUACGUACUCUGUUCAAUAAAUUUUAUUAACAAAUGAUUUUCAUGAUAAAGAAGUAUUUUAUAAAAAAAAAAAAAAAGAAAAAAGAAAAAAGAAGAAGAAUUAUUUAUUCAAAGAGCUCCACAUACAGCUCUCAGGUCAUGUUUGUUUUCAAAAUUUGCAAUAGGAUUAAGAGUCUCAUGGACUAUGAAACUCCUUUAAAGAGGGGGUUAGUAAUCCCAUGAGAGGUGGUAUUAAAAUCUAAUCCGAAGAAAUUGGAGGUGAAAAAACUAUUUUGUUCCUCAAUUUAUAAAACAACAAACACCUUCUAUAAAACAAGAAUUUUUAUGUAAUUUCAUAACUAACUAAAAUCACUCUAUAAUAUGCAAACAAACACAAUUUAUAUUAUAUUUGUAACCUAAUACCAUCCCACUAAUAAUCCCCCACCCAAAAAAAAACCUCAUAAACAAGAUGGUAGAAGUUGCUGAGGGGGAGGGAAGGAGGAGCCGCCAUGGUUGCAAAUGUAAGUCGUUAUGUAUUAUAUCAGUUGAUAUAUAAUUGAAUUUUAGAAUUCUGUUUUGGGUGAGGAGGUGCUAAAAUAAUAAUUGUUAAAAAAAAAAAAAAACAAACAAACAAACAAAUAAAAAAAAAAGAAAGGAUAAUCCCUGUAUUUUGUUUCGUAUAUUAUUUUGGUAUUUGCAAUUUUAAUUAGCUUGAUUUUGAUCAUUAAUUUUAAUUUUUUGUCAAUUUGGUUUAAUAGAUAAUACCAAAUAAGAUUUUUAAUAAAAACUAAUCAGCGAGUUACAAUUUUAUCUUUAAAAACAUGGCACGUAGUGCAUAUUUAA